CACUUACUUUGGAUUUAAUUUACUCUUCUUUUUCUGGUUUCCUAAGGUGCAGACUUACAUGAUUAAUUUUUGGUUUUUCUUCUUUUCUAAUACAUGCAUUCAAUACUAUAAAUUUCCCUCUAAGCAUUGCUUUUGCUACAUCCCACAAAUUUUGUUAAAUUUUGUUUUCACUUCCACUUAGUUCAAAGUAUUUUAACAUUUCUCUUCAGACAUUUUUCUAACAACACAGAUCCAUGUGUUAUUUAGAAGUGUGUUGUUUAAUCUCCACAUAUUUUGGGGUUUUCUAGUUAUCUUUGUGUUAUUGAUUUGUAGUUUAAUUCAGUUUAAUUCCAUUGUGGUCUGAGAGCAGACAUUGUAUAAUUUCUAUUCCUUUAAAUUUGUUAAGGUUUUUUUUUUUUUUUGGAGAUGGAGUCUUACUCUGUCACCCAGGCUAUAGUGCAGUGGUGUGAUCUCGGCUCACUGCAACCUCCACCUCCUGGGUUCAAUGAGCCGAGAUCACACCACUGCACUCCAGCCUGGGUGACAGAGCAAGACUCCAUCUCAAAAAAAAAAA
rnacentral:lncRNA from 10 species